rnacentral:rRNA from 1 species
GAUGAACGCUGGCGGCGUGCCUAAUACAUGCAAGUCGAGCGAACAGACGAGGAUUUUGCUUCGCUUACGUGAGGGGCGGACGGGUGAGGCACAGGUAGAUAACCUACCGAUAGGACUGAGAUACGGUCGGGAACGCGGAUCUAACACCCGUUAAGAUAUUGAACCGCAGGGUUCAAUGGUCCAAGCGGGUUUUGCUGUCACUAAUACAUGUAACCGGGCCGGAUUAGCUAGUUGGUAAGGUAAAGGCUUACCAAGGCAACGAUGCGUAGCCGACCUGAGAGGGUGAUCAGCCACACUGGAACUGAGACACGGUCCAGACUCCUACGGGAGGCAGCAGUAGGGAAUCUUCGGCAAUGGGCGAAAGCCUGACGGAGCAACGCCGCGUGAGUGAUGAAGGUCUUCGGAUUGUAAAGCUCUGUAAUUAGGGAAGAACAACAGUGUAAGUAUAUCUGGCCGUCUUGACGGUACCUAAAGAGAAAGCACCGGCUAACUACGUG